rnacentral:rRNA from 1 species
GCAGUCGAGCGGAACGAUGGGAGCUUGCUCUCAGGCGUCGAGCGGCGGACGGGUGAGUAAUGCCUAGGAAUCUGCCUAGUAGUGGGGGAUAACGUUCGGAAACGGACGCUAAUACCGCAUACGUCCUACGGGAGAAAGUGGGGGAUCUUCGGACCUCACGCUAUUAGAUGAGCCUAGGUCGGAUUAGCUAGUUGGUGAGGUAAUGGCUCACCAAGGCGACGAUCCGUAACUGGUCUGAGAGGAUGAUCAGUCACACUGGAACUGAGACACGGUCCAGACUCCUACGGGAGGCAGCAGUGGGGAAUAUUGGACAAUGGGCGAAAGCCUGAUCCAGCCAUGCCGCGUGUGUGAAGAAGGUCUUCGGAUUGUAAAGCACUUUAAGUUGGGAGGAAGGGCAGUAAGUUAAUACCUUGCUGUUUUGACGUUACCGACAGAAUAAGCACCGGCUAACUCUGUGCCAGCAGCCGCGGUAAUACAGAGGGUGCAAGCGUUAAUCGGAAUUACUGGGCGUAAAGCGCGCGUAGGCGGUUUGUUAAGUUGGAUGUGAAAGCCCCGGGCUCAACCUGGGAACUGCAUCCAAAACUGGCAAGCUAGAGUACAGUAGAGGGUGGUGGAAAUUUCCUGUGUAGCGGUGAAAUGCGUAGAUAUAGGAAGGAACACCAGUGGCCGAAGGCGACCACCUGGACUGAUACUGACGCUGAAGGUGCGAAAGCGUGGGGAAGCAAACAGGAUUAGAUACCCUGGUAGUCCACGCC